rnacentral:rRNA from 1 species
GAUGAACGCUAGCGGCAGGCUUAACACAUGCAAGUCGAGGGGCAGCGCGGUAGCAAUACUGGCGGCGACCGGCAAACGGGUGCGGAACACGUACGCAAUCUACCGUUGUCUGGGGUAUAGCCCCGAAGAAAUUCGGAUUAACCCCCCAUAAGAUAUUAGAGUGGCAUCACUUAGAUAUUAAAUCUCCGGAGGACAAUGAUGAGCGUGCGUCCCAUUAGCUAGUUGGUAGGGUAACGGCCUACCAAGGCGACGAUGGGUAGCUGGUGUGAG